CUAAAGAUGAAAUCUCAUGUGUUUAAGAUUUUUGAAGAAUUUAACAAACUCAUUGAAAACUACUUUCGUACUAAAAUCAAAACUAUAAAUACAGAUGGUGGUGGAGAGUAUCGAGCAGUUUCUCUCCUCCUAACCCAACAUAGAAUCCAGCAUCUUACUUCUUCACCCUAUACACCUGAACAUGUUGGCUCCGUUGAACGCAAACAUUGUCAUAUUGUGGAAACUGGUCUCAUACUUCUCCACAAUGCUGCUAUUACACUUCAUUUUUGGUCACAUGCUUUCCAAUCUGCCAUUUAUCUAAUUAUCAGAAUGCCUAUAAUUGUUCACAACCAUGGUACACCUUAUCACAAAUUAUUUGGCCAUAGACCCACAUACACUUCCCUUCGAGUUUUUGGCCGUCUUUGUUAUCCUUGGCUUCACUCAUAUAGCACCCACAAACUCAAACCUCACUCACGACCAUGUGCGUAUCUCAAAUUUUCCCUUUCUUACAAUUCCUUUCUCUAUUUUGAUCCUCAUUCAAAUUGUCUCUUUGUAUCUAGAUAUGUUGUCUUCUUUGAGAAAAUAUUUCCUUACAAAACAAACUCAUAUCUUGAUUUAUGCAUAUCUUCCCAAGAAUUUGGGCCAAGUCACUCUGCAUGCCAAAGACGCCAUUGACUCCAUCAUCUUAACCCCUUCCGCAUCGUACUUCCAAAAAUUCCUUCGACCCAUCCAUUCCCUGCUUAACAAGAUGUCUCAACUUUGUCUUCUCCUAAAGAUGCUUUUUGACACUCUCCAACAUAGCUAAGUAGUUCUUUCUCUUCAUCUAACACGUGUAGACUUAUCUACUGCAUGCCAUGACAUCAACCAAACUAUUUAGUAAACUAAAACUGGUUCGUCUCUCUUCUCGCAACCAGUUAAACCAUCUCAUAUGGUCGGUCACCAGUGCCCAAAAUAACAUCUACAAACCAAAACAACCAUUCUCUCUAAACACUACUAUAUCCUCCCUCCUAAUCCCAAACAGAACCUCUAUCAUACACCCAAGUAAUUAAACACUCUCAUUAGCGUGAUGCCAUGAAAGAUGAAUUUCUUGCUCUUAAGGAAAUCAAAUCUUGGUUCCUUAUUCCAUUUUCUCUGCACAAAAUAUUGUCAGGUUCAAAUGGGUUUAUAGAAUCAAACGGAACAUGAAUGGCUCCGUUGUUCGUGAUAAGGCCCGUUUGUGGCAAAGGGGUUUCAUCUACGACCCGAACUUGAUUUUAUGGAAACCUUUACCCCAAUUGUAAAACCAGCCACCAUUCACCUUGUCCUCACUAUUGCCAUUACUCAUGGUUGGGUUUUAAAUUAAUUGGAUUUUAAUAAUGCCUUCUUUGAAAGCACUCUAUCAGAAUGUGUUUUUAUACAGCAACCUCAAGGAUUUGUUGAUCCUCAAUAUCCUUCUCAUGUCCGUAAAUUAAUUAAAGCAAUUUAUGGUCUUCGGCAAUUUCCUCGGGCAUGGUACAAUGAACUUCAAUCCUUUCUUCUAAGAGUGAUACAUCUCUCUUGAUCUAUAGUUCAGGAACUCGCAUUAUAUACUUGCUUGUGUAUGUUGAUGACAUUAUACUCACCAGCAAUCACUCCUCAACUCUUCAUAAAUCCACCAGUCAGCUCUCCAACAUGUUUUCUCUCAAGGGUUUUGGAAAGUUCAACUACUUCUUGGGCGUUAAAUCACUUGGUCCUCGGAUGGCUUAUUCUUAUCUCAGCAGAAGUAUAUUCUUGUUCUACUUCAGUGAACUAAUAUGCAGGAAGCCAAGGAAAUUAGCACCCCAUUCUCUACUUCAAAGACACUAAAACUUGAUGAUGGUUCCCCUGGACAUGACCCAACUGAGUAUCGUCAAGUUCUUGGCUCCCUUCAGUAUCUUUCUUUUACACGACCUGAUGUUACCCAUGCUGUUAACAAGUUGGCUCAUUUUUUGCAUAAACCAACCUCUACCAAUUGGCUUGUUGUUAAACGAGUUCUUUGAUAUCUCAAGGGAACUUCUCAUUAUGGUAUCUUCAAUUCAUCUCAAUCACCUCUUGCCCUUCAUGUUUUUUGCCGACGCCAACUUGGCUAGUGAAGUUGAUACACGUCACUUUACAUCUAUCUAUCUUGUAUUUCUUGGCUCUCAUCCUGUUAAUUGGAGCUCUAAGAAACAAUCUACCAUAGUCCACUCCUCAACCAAGGCCGAAUACAUGCCACUGCUAUUGCUACUAUUGAAGUGAAUUAGCUCACCUACUUGCUUUGUGAACUUGUCAUAUCACUUCCAGCUCUUCCAACAAUCUACUAUGACAAUGUUGGAGCUACUUUCUGAUGCUCUAAUCCUAUCUUCCACUCAAGUAUGAAGCAUAUUGCCAUUGACUUUUAUUUUGUGCGUGAUCAAGUUUCUCGCAAGUUGCUUUUUUCACAUGUUCAUACUACAGACCAACUUCUUGAUUCUCUCACUAGACCUCUAGCUCGAAAGUAGUUCCUAAUUCAUAUGUCCAAGCUUAGUGUCCCUCCUGGACCCUUACGCUUGCGGGGCAUAAUAGAACACAAAGUUAACAGGUUUAUUAUUAAAGAGUUUUAUUCUAUCAUUGAUUGUAAUCAUAUUAUAAUUAUCUCCUUAUUUAGUUGAUUUAAUUUUCCAUUGUACAGAUUAGAACUGUGGGAUUAAUUUAACUAGAUUAAUGGGAUUGAUUUCCUUUACUUGCAGGUAUUUUUGUAGUCAUCCAUGUCAAUAAUACAAAGCAAUAUCC
rnacentral:lncRNA from 1 species